rnacentral:tRNA from 1 species
GCCUGGUUGGCUCAACGAUUGGGCAUCUGCCUUCAGCCCAGGGCAUGAUCCUGGAGUCUCGGGUUCGAGUCCCACAUCAGGCU